GAUCGCCACAGCAAAGCGCCAACCGUAUCGAUAACCACUUAAAAGCAUUAGGGAUGCACAGGCGAUGAGGUAGCCGAUUUUCAUUGUCAGCGUUAAAUCAACACCCCAAGUGAACGGGCGAAUGGUAUUUUCGAGUCCGAUGCGAAGUGGCAAAAGAAAGAAAAAUAAAAAACCGUUUUUAAUUUGAUCCAGCGCAGCGCCAAACUCUACGGUAAUGAAUAGAAUUGCAUCGUUGAUUUGUGCAGCCGGAUAAAAAACCCAUGGAUCAGGAAAUUCGGACAACUCAGUCACUGAUAGGGAGAGCAAUAAAAAAGACAACGCAGCUGUUCCAGCAAUGCCCAAAAUCAGUUGCGGACGUAAAGCGCGAGUUGUUUUAGAGUGCUGAUUAUCUUGUGCAAAGCCUCGAGUGAUGCG
rnacentral:rRNA from 1 species